AGGAUGAACGCUGGCGGCGUGCCUAAUACAUGCAAGUCGUGCGGCAGCAUGCCCUUCGGGGUGACGGCGAGCGGCGGACGGCUGAGUAACGCGUAGGAAUGUACCCCAAAGUGAGGGAUAAGCUCCAGAAAUGGUGUCUAAUACCGCAUAUGAUCUUCGGAUUAAAGCUUUUAUUAGCGCUUUGGGAACAGCCUGCGUCUGAUUAGAUAGUUGGUGAGGUAAAGGCUCACCAAGUCGACGAUCAGUAGCUGAUCUGAGAGGAUGAUCAGCCAGACUGGAACUGGGACACGGUCCAGACUCCUACGGGA
rnacentral:rRNA from 1 species